rnacentral:rRNA from 1 species
AGAGUUUGAUCCUGGCUCAGGACGAACGCUGGCGGCGUGCUUAACACAUGCAAGUCAAGGGGGGCCAGCAAUGGUCAACCGGCGAACGGGUGCGCAACACGUGAGCAAUCUACCGAUUUGUGGGGGAUAGCCGGCCCAACGGCCGGGUAAUACCGCAUACGAUCUUCGGGAGGCAUUUCCUGGAGAUGAAGCCUACGGGGCAAAUCGAGGAGCUCGCAGCCUAUCAGCUAGUUGGUGAGGUAACGGCUCACCAAGGCAAUGACGGGUAGCUGGUCUGAGAGGAUGGCCAGCCACAUUGGGACUGAGAUACGGCCCAGACUCCUACGGGAGGCAGCAGUGGGGAAUAUUGCGCAAUGGUCUAACGACUGACGCAGCGACGCCGCGUGAGGGAUGAAGCUCUUCGGAGUGUAAACCUCUGUUGCCAGGGACGAACAGCUGAAUUCAUUCAGCCUGACGGUACCUGGUGAGGAAGCACCGGCUAACUCCGUGCCAGCAGCCGCGGUAAUACGGGGGGUGCGAGCGUUGUCCGGAAUCACUGGGCGUAAAGGGCGCGUAGGUGGCCUGAUAAGGGUGUGGUGAAAGUCCGGGGCUUAACCCCGGAUCUGCCAUGCCGACUGUUAGGCUAGAGUGCUGUAGGGGCAGGCGGAAUUCCGGGUGUAGCGGUGGAAUGCGUAGAGAUCCGGAGGAAGACCGGUGGCGAAGGCGGCCUGCUGGGCAGAUACUGACACUGAGGCGCGACAGCGUGGGGAGCAAACAGGAUUAGAUACCCUGGUAGUCC